GCGGGAGGGAUCAUUACCGAGUUUACAACUCCCAAACCCAAUGUGAACGUUACCAAACUGUUGCCUCGGCGGGAUCUCUGCCCCGGGUGCGUCGCAGCCCCGGACCAAGGCGCCCGCCGGAGGACCAACCUAAAACUCUUAUUGUAUACCCCCUCGCGGGUUUUUUUAUAAUCUGAGCCUUCUCGGCGCCUCUCGUAGGCGUUUCGAAAAUGAAUCAAAACUUUCAACAACGGAUCUCUUGGUUCUGGCAUCGAUGAAGAACGCAGCGAAAUGCGAUAAGUAAUGUGAAUUGCAGAAUUCAGUGAAUCAUCGAAUCUUUGAACGCACAUUGCGCCCGCCAGUAUUCUGGCGGGCAUGCCUGUCCGAGCGUCAUUUCAACCCUCGAACCCCUCCGGGGGGUCGGCGUUGGGGAUCGGCCCUCCCUUAGCGGGUGGCCGUCUCCGAAAUACAGUGGCGGUCUCGCCGCAGCCUCUCCUGCGCAGUAGUUUGCACACUCGCAUCGGGAGCGCGGCGCGUCCACAGCCGUUAAACACCCAACUUCUGAAAUGUUGACCUCGGAUCAGGUAGGAAAUACCCGCUGAACUUA
rnacentral:rRNA from 1 species